GCCAGGCGUGGUGGUGUGUGCCUGUAGUCCCAGCUACUCAGGAGGCUGAGGCAGGAGAAUCACUUGAACCCAGGAGGCAGAGGUGGCAGUGAGCCAACAUCACACCACUGCACUCCAGCCUGGGUGACAGAGUGAGAUUCAGUCUCAA
rnacentral:SRP_RNA from 2 species